AGUGAACGCUGGCGGUAGGCCUAACACAUGCAAGUCGAACGGCAGCACAGUAAGAGCUUGCUCUUACGGGUGGCGAGUGGCGGACGGGUGAGGAAUACAUCGGAAUCUACUUUUUCGUGGGGGAUAACGUAGGGAAACUUACGCUAAUACCGCAUACGACCUACGGGUGAAAGCAGGGGAUCUUCGGACCUUGCGCGAUUGAAUGAGCCGAUGUCGGUUUAGCUAGUUGGCGGGGUAAAGGCCCACCAAGGCGACGAUCCGUAGCGGGUCUGAUAGGAUGACCAGCCACACUGGAACUGAGACACGGUCCAGACUCCUACGGGAGGCGGCAGUGGGGAAUUUUGGACAAUGGGCGCAAGCCUGAUCCAGCCAUACCGCGUGGGUGAAGAAGGCCUUCGGGUUUUAAAGCCCUUUUGUUGGGAAAGAAGAGCAGCAGGUUAAAACCCCGCUGUUCUGACGGUACCCAAAGAAUAAGCACCGGCUAACUUCGUG
rnacentral:rRNA from 1 species